CUCACACAACUGGAAGUCUAGGGCAAAGUUCCCACCAAGGUGGUGAACCUGUGUCUGGGUUGUAAGACUUCAGGUUGUAGGUGGAGGCCCAUACAAUUAAAUACGCCUUUGUUAAAAACAAACAGCCACAUUAGGAUGGACAUGUGCCCUACUUUACAGAAAAGAAGACAGUCCACUCUUUGAAGGUAUCCUUUAUUUGAAAGGCUGCCCAGCCCAAGUCCGGUUUAAAGAUAGACCCAUAAUUAGAAAAGGCAGGAGGGACCUUGAAGUUUCCCAUCAACAAUUAGCAACACCUGGUCAGCAGACUGAGCAGCCACACAAAUCACCUGAUCACAGUGUUCCCCACUAGGGUGGGAUGUAUUUUAUUUCUAAUUAAAGGAUGGCUGUCCUCUUCCACCAAACAUGCCACUUCAGGAGGGAUGCACAUGGAGCAGUGAGGGAGGAAGGAGACAUCUGCCUAGCCAGCCAGAUCAGCCGAAUCAACCCUGGCGAUCAAUGGAGUGACAGAUGUUGCAGCCAGAUUGCCCUCACAUCCAUAUUUCCCGCAUCCAGAGGCAAGGUGAAGUGGACACUCCAGGAGACCGAUUUUGUCUGUCACCAAGAACAGCAGAGGAAGACAGAACUGAGCCAUGGGGCACAAUCUACUGAGAAGUUCUCCUGCACAAAUGAAUUGGAACUGAACAAGAACACAGUCAUUUCACAGAAGCCAAGGCUAUCAGUGGCUCCUAGUCAAGAUAGUUAUAUGUUACCUCCAAUAUAAGAGGCAGCAUGUAUCUGAAUACCUCAAGCAGGAGAGGGCUAUUGCACUCAAUUUCUGCUUGUUGGGCUGCCUGAGAGGCAUGUGGUUAGCCACUGUGGAAAACAGGAUAUUGGACUAAAUGGGCCCUUUGGUCUGAUCCAGCAGAGCUCUUACACUCUUAUGUUCAAUGCGUCCAAUUCAUUUCAAUAAGACUUGU